rnacentral:rRNA from 1 species
UAUGGGCGAGGGCCUGAACCAGCCNAGUAGCGUGAAGGAUGACUGCCCUAUGGGUUGUAAACUUCUUUUAUAAAGGAAUAAAGUCGGGUAUGGAUACCCGUUUGCAUGUACUUUAUGAAUAAGGAUCGGCUAACUCCGUGCCAGCAGCCGCGGUAAUACGGAGGAUCCGAGCGUUAUCCGGAUUUAUUGGGUUUAAAGGGAGCGUAGGUGGAUUGUUAAGUCAGUUGUGAAAGUUUGCGGCUCAACCGUAAAAUUGCAGUUGAAACUGGCAGUCUUGAGUACAGUAGAGGUGGGCGGAAUUCGUGGUGUAGCGGUGAAAUGCUUAGAUAUCACGAAGAACUCCGAUUGCGAAGGCAGCUCACUAGACUGUUACUGACACUGAUGCUCGAAAGUGUGGGUAUCAAACAGGAUUAGAUACCCUGGUAGUCCAAGGGCGAAUUC